rnacentral:rRNA from 1 species
UGAGUAACACGUAUCCAACCUGCCGUCUACUCUUGGACAGCCUUCUGAAAGGAAGAUUAAUACAAGAUGGCAUCAUGAGUCCGCAUGUUCACAUGAUUAAAGGUAUUCCGGUAGACGAUGGGGAUGCGUUCCAUUAGAUAGUAGGCGGGGUAACGGCCCACCCAGUCUUCGAUGGAUAGGGGUUCUGAGAGGAAGGUCCCCCACAUUGGAACUGAGACACGGUCCAA